rnacentral:rRNA from 1 species
UUCUGUAGCAAUAUAGGGAAAAGUCUAGCGGCGAACGGGUGCUUAACACGUGGGCAACCUGCCGAGAAGUGGGGGAUAGCUCGCCGAAAGGCGAAUUAAUACCGCAUGUGAUCAGAGUGGACAUCCAUUCGAAAUCAAAGUCGGGGCAACCUGACGCUUUUUGAGGGGCCCGCGGCCUAUCAGCUAGUUGGUGAGGUAACGGCUCACCAAGGCUUUGACGGGUAGCUGGUCUGAGAGGACGACCAGCCACACUGGGACUGAGACACGGCCCAGACACCUACGGGUGGCAGCAGUCGAGAAUUUUUCUCAAUGGGGGAAACCCUGAAGGAGCGACGCCGCGUGGAGGAUGAAGGUCUUCGGAUUGUAAACUCCUGUCAUUGGGGAACAAUGCGUAAAUAUUAACUGUAUUUGCGUUGAUAGUACCCGAAGAGGAAGAGACGGCUAACUCUGUGCCAGCAGCCGCGGUAAUACAGAGGUCUCAAGCGUUGUUCGGAUUCAUUGGGCGUAAAGGGUGCGUAGGCGGCGCGGUAAGUCGGAUGUGAAAUCUCGGAGCUUAACUCCGAAACUGCAUUCGAUACUGCCGUGCUUGAGGACUGGAAAGGAGACUGGAAUUCACGGUGUAGCA